rnacentral:rRNA from 1 species
CCUACGGGAGGCAGCAGUGAGGAAUAUUGGUCAAUGGGCGCGAGCCUGAACCAGCCAAGUAGCGUGAGUGAUGACUGCCCUACGGGUUGUAAACUUCUUUUAUACAGGAAUAAAGGGGGGCACGUGUGUGUUUUUGUAUGUACUGUAUGAAUAAGGAUCGGCUAAUUCCGUGCCAGCAGCCGCGGUAAUACGGAGGGUCCGAGCGUUAUCCGGAUUUAUUGGGUUUAAAUGGAGCGUAGAUGGGUUGUUAAGUUUGUUGUGAAAGUUUGCGGCUCAACCGUAAAAGUGCAGUGGAUACUGGCGGCCUUGAGUGCAGUUGAGGUAGGCGGAAUUCGUGGUGUAGCGGUGAAAUGCGUAGAUAUCACGAAGAACACCGAUUGCGAAGGCAGCUUGCUGGUCUGUUACUGACGUUGAUGCUCGAAAGUGUGGGUAUCAAACAGGAUUAGAUACCCCAGUAGUC